rnacentral:lncRNA from 1 species
CCUGAGUAGAUAUAAGUAUAUAUAUACAAUUCAUUAUUUCAAACAUAUUCCUAAUUCAGAACAAAUGAUCUUCAUCUAUUGAAUUAUUCAAAGAUUUACUUCUUUGUGGUUUACACAUGUAAAAUACCAUCAUCAGGGUUUAAUACAUUCUGCAUUAAACAACUAUUCUUCUUUUCAAGCGCUUCUAAUCACGAGAGAUCGCAUCAUAGCUUUAACCUGCAAAUUAAGCAAGAUUGAGCACAACGGCCCAGCAAGUCUAACAGCCUAUCAUGCAUCACGUAGCACAUAAGUUUCACAUUCAGUUCAUGCAUUUAUAUUCUUGGAGUUCAAGCAUAUUACAAUUGUAUCAUCAAACUUAAAUUCUACUAGUAGUAACAUACGCACCAUAGCAUACGACACAUGAACUGCAUCUGUCAUUCAUUACACAUAUAUAUUGAGUUCCCUGACUCAAUUCAACAAUUAGUAAUAAUUUGACCUUCAUCAUUCACAAAGCAAUUAAUGCAAUUCAUAGGCAUCACAUAUCUAUAAACAUAAGUCAUGUUAACAUUUAUUUAUAGCAUUUAUAAGUCCACAUAAAUAAACUGAGAAACUUGCCUUAAUUGGAGAUUACCGUUAAACUUAACUUAGCUUCUUUCCAAAAUUCCUACACAAUCGUGUUUACAUAUACACACAUAUUAGGUAAUCAUUUAUGUAACAAAAACAUGCAUGCAUAUAUAUUAACCAUGAUUAUUAGUAUAUAUAAACUAUAAUAUUUUAUUCUCAUCUUAAAACCAAUCUUGGUUUAUUUAGAAAUUUUAAUUCAUUUUAACCUUUUUAUGCACAAUAAAGGUCUCUCACAUUUUUAAUACGUAAAUAUUUUACAUCUUGAAGCUUGAACCAUCCAUAUUCCAUUUUAGAAAUAUCAUUUGCCAUUACUCGCAAAGUCGAGAUUUAAAUGAUUAAUAUAUAACUUUUAUAUUAAAACACGACUUACUAUAUUAUUUCUUUUAUUUAUAUAAUUUUUUAUGCCUUUUUGACAAUUCAUGACUUAAAUCAUCAUAUCCCCUCUUACGCGAAUGUUUUAUUUCAUAAGCAACUUGGCUUCACAUUUUAUCUCGCGAAUAAUUCGCAUUCUCGCUUCGCAUAUAUAUAACUAUAUAUAUGCAUCGUUAUAUAAAUAUUUGUUCAAAAUGUUCGUUUCGAACUCCAGAAACCUUCAUUUCAUUACUUUCAUAACCAUUAAUAUUUUUAAUGGUUUCAUGAUUUUCGUUUCGCUAUAAAAUCAUUUUAUGUGUCAUUUCUGGCUUACAUUCGCAUAUCUAUGUAAAUUUAAAAUUACCUUACAUUUUUUUUCCAUUCUUUAUGCCCGAAAUAAAUUUUCAUGGCAUAAAGUACCAUAUAACCUCAAUACUUCGAUUUUGGGUCUUUAUUAGGCUUUAUGUUUCUUAAAAUUUAGCCCAAAUACGAUCCGAAAUGUCGAACGUCAAAACAGCUCAUGUCGGAUAUGUUCGGCAUCGCUUGUUUUUAAAUUCUGACAUGCUCCUUCGCUCAUUUUUAAUUCUUAAACCAUUAAUCAAAUCGCGGCGAAUUUAUGGUAUGUUAUAGACCUCAUGUCAUAGUAUUUUUUUAAAUUUCUAUCCGCGAAAACGAACCACGAAAACUACCCGUAAUGGAGCUCAAAAAUCACUCCAGCAGCAGCCUGCAGAGCAGGUGCCAGCGGCGCUGGGCACUGCCUGCCCUGCUGCUGCCUUGGCCUGUUGCAGCGCUUAACGAGUUGCCUACUUUGCGAUUUUCUCAUACAUUGCUCGUUUAUCGGAUCGAUUCUAAAUUUCAUUAUGUUUUUCCUAUCAUAUGAGACUAUUUUUAAAAAUAUCAAACUCCCAUUUCAGAUUUGUUACGCAGCCCAAACAGAGCGCCAAAAGUGUACGUUCAUAACAGUUUUUACUUUUGUUUCAGCUUUACCCUCUCUCGCUAAAACAGUCAUAACUUUUUCGUUUCAAAACAUUUUUGAGCGAUUCUUGAGCCCACACGAAGCUAACUUCCGGGGCUACAACUCUUACUUACUGACCUUUUCCAAAUUCCGAACACAUCAGUCCAGAAUUUCGCACAAAGGGGACUAGUCGGAAUUGGUUGGACAAUUUUGACACGACUACUUUGAAUGGUCAUAACUCUUUACUCCGAAGUCGGAAUUAGUCCGUUCUGGAGUCUAUGGAAAGCUUAUUCAGUGUAAUAUAAUACCCCAAAAGCCCAGAAUUUUUUGGAAACAUAUACUAUCCUUGAAUUUAUGUUUUAGGGUCAGCAGUCACACAAUCUUUCGGACUUUUCGUUUUGUCUCAAAAAUUGUUUUUCGUUCUAAUUUUAUUAUCCUUUAAUUAUCUACAUAUAGUGUAUAUAUAUGUAACCAUGGCCUCGGCUUUACUUAAUUAUUCGUUUUUAACCAAAACAGUCCACAGAGGACUUUCAGCGAACAUCUUAUGUGCGCUGUUUUGACAUGCGAAUUUUAUAGCCAUUCCUUUGUGUUCUAAACCCAUUUUAGCCUCCUUAUAACUCCGCACAACCAACCUAUCUCCUUUGUUCUAAUUUAGUCCCAUAGGAGUCAAAUACAUAAUUAAAAUUAAGCAAAAUCAAGUAAUUAGUAAACUAGUUACUAACUUUAAAAACUUUAACUAUUUGAUUCUAAUACACUCAAUAUGCAAUAAUAUAAUCUCAAUUCUCGUUGCUAUAUAACAUACAUAUAACAAUAUUAAUCCAGCCAAACUCAUUAGCCCAAUUGUAAAUUCUCAGUCUUACCCAUUUGUUUUGCUAAUUGAAUUUUAUAUUCAAACUAUUUAACCAUACAUACUAACUAAUUUCAUAAACAUAAUUAAAUUACCUUUGCUUGCUUAUAAUCUUUUGGAUAUCCUGAGAUUCCCUUGUAUACUAAUUUCUUGCUUCAAUUGAGUGGAAGGGUCAUAGAUGACUGGGCUGUUUCGGGUGGACAGGGGAGAAGGCAGGAGGAGAUCCAGGUUGAGGGAAAAAGAGAAGAACAUGAUAGUUUGAUCUCAUCCUAUAAAUUCCCAAGUCUUGAUCCCCAGGAAAAUUUUCUUUUCCUUCAUUCACAAAUAUUUUCCUUGGCCAAGGUAUAAAUUGCUUGCUCCAUAUGAAUUUACGGUGCUGAGUAAUAUACAUAGACUUGCCAGCUCAAGCUAACUCUCCUAAUGUCCCUGACUAGCUUCUACUGCUCAUGCUCCUGACUUUAAUAUUUUUCCCCCAAAUCAGUUUAUGGCUUUACUUUCUUAAUCAAUUUGAUGGCUUCUUAUACCGAAUUUGGAAAAAACUUAGUGCUUAUAACUUUGGGGAUAUGAAACUUGGCAAUUUGUUAGAGAGAGAGAGAUGAUGGAACGGGUGGAGAGGAGAUGAAAAUGAGAGAAUGAAAUUAUUUCAGUUUUUCUUAGAUCUCCU